AAUAGAACAUCUUUCUAAAAACU
rnacentral:snRNA from 1 species